GGGUGUUUAGUAAAUGUAUGCACUGCAUAGACUGUGUUUCUUGCAGUAAUGCCAAAGCAUAAGACUUGUUUUUAGUGCACUUUCUAAAUUCAAAACUGAUGUAGGCCUAUUGAAAAUUCAUCUGAAGUGUGAAAUGUCCCAAAUCAACUUAUAACAGUUCAUGUUCUAAUCUGCGACUCACAUUUGUAUUAACCGAGUAUGGUUUGGUUAAAUGUUGACUGAACAAGCAAAUGUUUUUCCUCAGAAGGCCUCAUCCAAAUUCGCACACAGCUUGUGCUUUCAUAAAGUUAGAAGAAACAAUGCCGUCUAUUAUAACAUAACAACAGCAAUUAUGUAACUUGGUGCUGUUUGUAAAAAUAAUCACACAUUUGGAUGUUUACAAAGCUUCCUUUUCUCUAGCGCUUCAUCACAUGAAUUAAGUCCUGUGCUUUUGGUGGGGUCUGUUGACUGAAUGCAACCCAGGCAGAUAGUUUUUCUUUUUUUUUUUACUCUGAUCUUCUUUAAUGGGGCUUUAAAAAAUGAAUGCUCAGGAAUUAAUUGAGGAGAGAGAUGACUAACUAAAGAGAUCAUUGCAAUUUUAAUGUAGUUCCUCAUGGUGGAUGUGUGAGAUGGCGCUCAGAGCUGUUUGAUUAAACUGCCCCCUUAUACAUUUCUCCAGUCAGACUUAAAAGCUGCAUGUGUAUUUAUAGUAAUACAAGCGAUGGACAAAACAGUUUAAGGGUUUCUUCAAAUUCUGCCAUCAGACUGAACUUUGAGUGAAAUCCAACUUUACUUGUUUUUGUUUGUUUGUUUGUUUCUCUAAACUUAAACCAGGUAAACUCCUCAAGGCCACUUUCUGGUCCUCGAACCACAUUUUGGAAACCCUUAUUUGAACGCGCAUCACACAGUCAGAGUGGUCCUUGACCCUCUCUACCCCACCCAAAUCCCACUGAUGAACCAGCGAAGUUACAGUUGCUGUGUGUUGGUAUUUAUGCCAGACUGCAGCUCGCUGAAACCCCCUCCGCGCAGCAGAUUAUCGGACCAAACCAUUGCUGCGCUUCAGGUUUUAACACCUGUCACAUGAGGCUUUACAUUCGCAAAUCGCCGGCUAUCGCUGCAGCUAAGCGAGUUCAGUUUGCCACACUGCAGACGGACAUCGGACUCUGCCGUCCUGCAAAUGCUGCCACAGUGCAGCUCUCAGUGAGAUGAGCUUCCCAAAUUGCACCGACACCCCCAUUGUGCAACUGGCAGCAUCACCCACUGCCUGCAAUGCAAU
ensembl:lncRNA